GCUAUGCAUAAAGCUAUGUUAAUCUCAAAAUAAGAUGUCAUUGAAUUGGUAAGCCCUAUGUGUUUUAGGUCUACCAACUCUCACCACCUAAUCAUUAGUCAAUUGUCCACCCAACAUUUGUGUGUGUCAUCAAAUAUUAUUAUAAUUAAAAAGUCUCCCUAAUAAUUUUUUUAAGUGGUACUAUUGACAAACCUUUAAAAAUAAAAGGAUUGAUGAGACACACAAAGUGUUGGGAGUUAUUUUACUAUUUAAUUAUUAGUUAUUAGGGAGACUUUUUAAUUAACUCCCACUUAAUUAACUCCCACUUAAUUAACUCCCAUUUAAUUACUAUUUAUCAAUAGGUCUACCAACUCCCACCACCUAAUCAUUAGUUAAUUGCCCACCCAACACUUGUGAUCGUCAAUGGUAUUCACUAAUCAGACUUUCAAUGAUAGAAGAUCCACAAUUUUCAUGGACAAACUUGAUGCAUUGCAUGUCUUCUUGAGAUUCAACUAGGAUUUUUAGGUAUGACAAAUAUUACAAGUCCUCUAAAAUCAAGGGAUCACAAGAUUUUAUGCAACCCGGCAAACUCCAAUCCGUGAAAAAGAGGAGAUUUUUUUUGUUGUUGUUGGAGGAAACAAGAAAAAAAAAUCUAGUUUUCACAGAGAAAGAAGGAAAGAGAGAAAAGAGGAGCAUAAGAAGAGUAGAGGGAGGGGAUGAUGAUGAC
rnacentral:lncRNA from 1 species